CAGAAAUCAUUCUUGUAUACAAUAUGGCUAAGACUUUGAUGAUUGUUUUUUUGGUAGUCGCCUGCUUGAUUAUUUCACAGGAUGCGUUCCCAGGUGAAACCAAGUGUAAGACUGUUGCAAACUGUAUUGGAUUAGAAUGUGGUCCUCAAGGGCCGGUUUGUCAUGGUGGGUUUUGCACAUGUUUGGACUACUCAAGACAAUACUCCAUUGAUCAUGAAGGUGGUGGAAACUUGCAAGAGUCUUCUUAGUUAUUAAAUAUAUAGAGUACUUUAUUGGUUGGAGAAUGUCAUUUUUACUUCGCCGAUGUUUACUUGAAGAAAUAAAUGGCAUUAAGUUGCAUUA